GAUGAACGCUGGCGGCGUGCCUAAUACAUGCAAGUCGAGCGAACAGACGAGGAGCUUGCUCCUCUGACGUUAGCGGCGGACGGGUGAGUAACACGUGGAUAACCUACCUAUAAGACUGGGAUAACUUCGGGAAACCGGAGCUAAUACCGGAUAAUAUAUUGAACCGCAUGGUUCAAUAGUGAAAGACGGUUUUGCUGUCACUUAUAGAUGGAUCCGCGCCGCAUUAGCUAGUUGGUAAGGUAACGGCUUACCAAGGCAACGAUGCGUAGCCGACCUGAGAGGGAUAUCGCACACACUGGAAGAGAGACACGGUACAGACUCCUACGAGGGGCAGGAGUAGAGUAUCUCGCGCAGUGGGAGAAAGCGACACGGAACAACGCCGCGUGAGUGGAGGAGGUCUUGGGCUCGUAAAACUCUGUUAAUGGGGGAAAAAAAAUGUGUAAGUAACUAUGCACGUCGACGGUAUCCCAACACAGAGACACGGCUAUAUAUGCG
rnacentral:rRNA from 1 species